rnacentral:rRNA from 1 species
AGUGAACGCUGGCGGCAGGCCUAAUACAUGCAAGUCGAACGGCAGCACAGCAGAGCUUGCUCUGUGGGUGGCGAGUGGCGGACGGGUGAGGAAUACAUGGGAAUCUGCCCAGUCGUGGGGGAUAACGUAUGGAAACGUACGCUAAUACCGCAUGCGCCCUACGGGGGAAAGUCGGGACCGCAAGGCCUGACGCGAUUGGAUGAGCCCAUGUUCGAUUAGCUAGUUGGCGGGGUAAAGGCCCACCAAGGCGACGAUCGAUAGCUGGUCUGAGAGGAUGAUCAGCCACACUGGAACUGAGACACGGUCCAGACUCCUACGGGAGGCAGCAGUAGGGAAUAUUGGACAAUGGGGGCAACCCUGAUCCAGCCAUGCCGCGUGAGUGAAGAAGGCCCUCGGGUUGUAAAGCUCUUUUGUCCGGAAAGAAAAGCAUCUGGUUAAUACCCGGGUGUUCUGACGGUACCGGAAGAAUAAGCACCGGCUAACUUCG